rnacentral:rRNA from 1 species
AUUGAACGCUGGCGGCAUGCCUUACACAUGCAAGUCGAACGGUAACGGGCCUUCGGGUGCCGACGAGUGGCGAACGGGUGCGUAAUACAUCGGAACGUGCCCGAUCGUGGGGGAUAACGAGGCGAAAGCUUUGCUAAUACCGCAUACGAUCUACGGAUGAAAGCAGGGGACCGCAAGGCCUUGCGCGGACGGAGCGGCCGAUGGCAGAUUAGGUAGUUGGUGGGGUAAAAGCUUACCAAGCCGACGAUCUGUAGCUGGUCUGAGAGGAUGAUCAGCCACACUGGGACUGAGACACGGCCCAGACUCCUACGGGAGGCAGCAGUGGGGAAUUUUGGACAAUGGGCGCAAGCCUGAUCCAGCCAUGCCGCGUGCAGGAUGAAGGCCUUCGGGUUGUAAACUGCUUUUGUACGGAACGAAAAGCCUUCUUUUAAUACAGGAGGGUCAUGACGGUACCGUAAGAAUAAGCACCGGCUAACUACGUG